UCGUAAUUCAUCAAAAUUGUUAAUUACAUCCACAAAGAAGGCUAUAAUCAAAUUUGAUUUUAUUUCCAGCGAAAUUUAUUUUCCAAAUAAUAUUUAGUUGUUAGACAAUUCUAUAUAGCGAUCGUUGGAUCGAUUGAAUUAGGCUUCCAAGGUUCCAAGGUUGCCAGAGGAUAAUAGAUUACUGCAGAAGGUAUGAAGGGACAAGAGACAGAGAUUCAAGGACGAUAUGUUCUAGUUUAUCUGACAUUUCGAAAUGUCUGCUUUCUGGAGUUGCCAUUCGAUGGAAAUAUCACUAUCGAGCUAUAACAAAAGAGUGGACAAUGCGAAUACUUCAGAGAGAAAAGAAACGUAUAAACAAACAAUCAAACGAUCGGAGUUAAUUGAGUUGUUUGAAGGAUUGGUGAUUUCUUUUUCUCUUUUGUAUGUCAUUUACAGUUUGAUUAGCUCGAUGAAAAAUUCUAUGGUGCCUGUGAUCGCCCAUCAAACCCGCAGGUCGAAAUAAAUCGCGUAGAUGAAAUGUCAGAGACAACAGCGAUCUCAUUUUCAUAAGUCACAGAGUUUGAAAAUAUUCAUUUGAUCGCUGUGUUUUAUUCUUUAAUUAUCCAAGUCAUUGACGAAUCAUUUUUCUCUUUUUUUCUAAUAUAUUCCAAGAUUUU
rnacentral:misc_RNA from 1 species